rnacentral:tRNA from 2 species
GCCGGUAUAGCUCAGCUGGUAGAGCAACUGAUUUGUAAUCAGUAGGUCCCGGGUUCGACUCCUGGUGCCGGCACCA